UAUCUCAACCAUUAAUCGCGCAUUAUCUAACGGUUGUCAAUUCACCCGCUUCAUUAAGGGUAAAAUGGUAAUAUUUGCAAAUCGAAUGACUAUCUAAUUUUUCUAGUCGCUUCUUUUUCGUUUUCUCUCUCUUGUUCAGACUUUCUCUUUUUUUCUUUGAAUGCUCUCUAAAGAGGUUUCAUUUCUUCGGUUUCGCACAUCGAAUUCUUCAAAUUGGUUUAUUUAAGUUCUUUGAUUUGCUGUUUCUGGUUGUUUCUGGAGAGGUAAGUGUUUUGAUUUCGUAUAUUUUUGUUGUUUUUUAAAUUCAAUUAGGGUCUUUUUUAAAAUAAAGGUUGGGCGAUUUCGAUUGCAAAAAUUAGGGUUUUCACUACUAUUUGUUUCACUUUUUGUGAUUUCGAUUGAUGUAUAAAACUCUUACAAUCAUAUAUUAGCGUAUUGUGGUUUCAUUUAAUUAGCUGCAAUUAUGGUUUUGUGGUUGAAUUAUUGAUAUAUUCUUAUAUUUGGUAUUAUUAAAUUGUUGCUUGCUUGAUAAAAUUUUGGUUUUUUUGUUAGAUUGUAUGGUAAAUUACUUUUGGGUUUUUCUAAGAUAUGCCCCUAAACUUCUUCGGUUUCUAAGCUGUGCCCACAGUUUUUUAAACGUCUAAGCUAUGCCCUCCACCUUACUAUUUUCUAUUAAAAAUAACCUAUGUCAUUAGCCGUAAGUAACGGACGUUAAGGUCUGUUAGUUGUCGUUGCUAGUUAAAAUAGAAAUUAAAAAAAAAACAAUUAAAUUCCUUAAAACAAUUAAAUAAUUAAAGUCCUUCUAGUUCCCAAACAAUGAUAGUAUCAAACACCUCUUAUUAAACUCCUCUUCUACUCUGUUUCAUGAACACUCAAAUGAAAAUCAAAACCCUUAAAAAGUAGUGCCCAGAAAUUUGCGAUAGAAAUCAAAUUGACGAGUUGCGUGGUUGAAUUUCGUGGAGUUGUGGGUUGCAAACAAAAGUUGGGUUGCGAUUUGGUUGAGAGAAGGAGUCAUAGUGUGGUUGCGUUGCUGAAUUUCACCAAAAACGGGAAUUUAAGCUUGGAAGAAAGGUAAUUUUGAAUAAAUUUGUGAGAUUCAUAGCAACUUUGUUGAAUUUCGUGGAGUUGUGGGUUGCGAUCUUCAUCUGGGUUGCAAUUUCGUUGCGAGCUGGAGUGGAGUGGCUGCGUUGCUGAAUUUCACUAAAAAACGGGAAUUUCGGCUUGGGAAGACAGAAUGGGUGAAAGGGUGUUGAAAAUGCAUUUCAUGGGUAACUCUGUUGAUGUUAUGGUUGCUGAUAUAGAUGAAUGUUUGCUGAUAGAUGUAGUGAAUGAUAUGGUUGACAAAUUUAGUUCUUUUGGGUAUGAACUCCCCACUUUUCCUGUGUUAAGUUAUUGUUCCAAUGGGAAGAGUCAUGCACUUACUGAUGAUAAAACACUAAUGACCAUGUUUGAGGUAGUUGAAUCUAGGAGGAUAGAUAUAUGGAUUGGUUGUUUGAAGUAACCUAAUUUUAUUUGGACCUUAGCUGAAAAGGUAAGGUUGAAAGGAUCAAAUGAAAGUGGUUCAGCAUCACUACCUAAACCACCAAUAACUAUACUACCAGUUAGGGGUGGUAAGAGGGGUAAGCCUGAAGAAAAAAAUUCUGGUAAUCUAUUUUCAACCCCAUCAUCUCAUGGACCAUCUAAAAUUAAAUCUCCUGAACAAAGUCAAACCAUUACUUUGUCAAGCCCAAGAAGAAGCCCCGGGCUUAUGGCUUCUAGCCCCCCAACCACACAAGAAUCCUUAAUCAACCCUCCAACUUCAGGUGUCACCCAAACAGGUCCUAGUGUUAGCCAUGCUGCCCCUACUAAACUAAACAAUAUUCUUAAGCCUUCUUCAUUCCUUCAUGGUAAAAAAAAUCUUUAAAUCUACCCUUAAAUACAAGGGGUUAUGGGUUCCACCUCAACCAAUCACUGAAGCCAAUGAAGUUCAGAAGGAGCAACCAUCUGUUAGAACUGGAAAGAGGACUAGGGUUAGGCUAGAUGAUGAUGUUGGGGUGUCAAAUGUGAGUGGGGCUUUAUCUGAUAGUAGUGGUACAGAUAGUGAAGGGGAUUACCAACCUGACCAAGGUUUUGAUGUAGACACUGAAUCUGAUAGUAGUGGUACAGAUAGUGAAGGAUCCAACAGAUUAUGUGAGUGAAUGGUUCACUGUAGCUAAGUACAGACAAGCCUACAGUGGAAACAUAUCCCCUGUUCCUGAUCAAGAGCAAUGGCCACACAUUGAUGGUGUUCCAACCCUCAUACCACCAACAAUGAAACGAAGUAUUGGCAGACCAACAAGAAAUAGGAGGAGAGAGGAAGGGGAGCAGAGAAAAGGAAAAAGAAGUGCAACCGUCCAGUGUAGUAACUGCAAGAAUUAUGGGCUCAAUAUGGCAACAUGCAAAGGUGGCCCAACUUCCAGAGAAGUAGCCGAGCAACAAGGGAAGAUUGUGCCACAAAAGGGAGGCAAUAAAGGAAAAAAAGCACAGAGACUACCUGAAGAUAAUGAUGUUGACUUCUCCCUGAUUGAAUUGAUGGUCAGUGGAAAUUACGCUAGUGAAGGUGCUGAUAGAACAGACAACCGUACUCACCACAGUGGUGCAUCAAAAGGGAAAGGAAAUUCACACCAAGAUCAGUCCAGCAACAGUGAUGCAUUUGAUCAUAGCUUCAUUGAUACCAUGAAUGCAUCUUCAUAGCCCCAAGUUCAAACAUCAAACCAAAGUGCAGAACUCAGGCAACCAUCGAUGAGUCAGCCUUAGGUAAUCAGAUCCUUUAAGCAAGCUAACAUACACUCUGAAAUGGGUGAAACUUAUCCUUUUGUAAUUAUUGGGGCAAACUGUAAUCACUUUUUUUGGGCAUAAUCACUAUAAUGUAAUGUUGUUAGUGUUAUGUCAGGUAUGCAACUGGCCUAGUUUUUGGGGCAAACUUUAGUUUUUGUGGCAAACAAUACUUUUUAAGCCAACUUUUGUGUUAUUGCUACUAAGUGAUGUAAUGUUUUGGGCAAAUUGUGAAUAUAUGGUACUUUCGGUUGACAUUA